UAUCCAUGGUGUGGACAUUACAAUAAAAGUGAUUUGAAGCGAUCUCAUACUUCAAGAAAGGAUUCAGUAUCCUUUUAAUAAAAAUUAGAAAUUUCAGCUCUUAAUUC
rnacentral:snoRNA from 1 species